UUAAGUUUGUUUUUUAAAAAUAGGUCAUAUAUGUACAUGGCAAGAAAAAAAAAGGUUCAUGCAGUACAGGAGGGUAUUUGGUGAACGAUAAAUCUCCCUGUGUGGCACUGAAUUCCUCUGUCCCCCUCCUGAAGCACCCAGGGUCUCCAUAACCUUCCAGAGCCAUCCUGUGUUCACACCAACGGAUGUGUAUAUCAUCCCUCUUUCUGUAAUGCUAAUGUCCUGUAGCUCACUCCAAUGGAUCUUGGAGAUCAUUCCAUGUCAAGUGGAGGACUGCUUCACCCCUGCAGCUACAUAUAUAUGGAUAUAUGGCAAUUUAUAAACCACUUCCCUUUUGUUUCUGAAAAAUUUUGCAACAACAAACAAGGCAACAUCAACAAUCCUUAUAAAUUUGCUUUUGGUAACUCAUGCAAGUAGAAUUGCUGGAGCACACAGUCUUAAUUAGUUUUAAUUACUCUUAUUAGUCUUCUGCAGAGAUCAAUAGUUGUCCUCCAAUAUAUGUUGUUUUUCUCCAUUGGAAGAGAAUCCCUGAUUUUUCGCUAGAUACACAGCUGUCUAGAAUAAAGACUGCAUUUUCUAGCCUUCCUUGCAGGUGGGUUCUGGCCAA
ensembl:lncRNA novel transcript